CAGGAUUGCAGUGAAAGGUAAUGCCUGUAUAGGCAGCAGAGGUGUCAUCAGAGAGCACUGUGGUCAGAGAGGAAAGAUCUACUCAACUUGGAGCAUGCUGCAGCUGAUAGAGUUCCCCUUUAACACGUGCAAUCAGAUGUCACCACACAUGCUCCAGUCUAAGGUUCCCAUAAGGUUUAGGUUGGGCAUGCUUGUAAUACAAAAGAAUACAAGUUGACUCAAAUAAACACCUAGUUGAUGGAAAGC